rnacentral:rRNA from 1 species
CCUACGGGAGGCAGCAGUGAGGAAUAUUGGACAAUGGAGGCAACUCUGAUCCAGCCAUGCCGCGUGCAGGAAGACUGCCCUAUGGGUUGUAAACUGCUUUUAUACAGGAAGAAUAGUACCUACGUGUAGGUAUUUGACGGUACUGUACGAAUAAGGAUCGGCUAACUCCGUGCCAGCAGCCGCGGUAA